rnacentral:tRNA from 1 species
UGGGUUGGGGCUCAGUGGCAGAGUGCUUGCCUACCAUGUAUGAGGCACUGGGUUCAAUUCUCAGCACCACAU